rnacentral:misc_RNA from 1 species
UAUAGAAAUGAGACACAAGUAAACCUUGAUUUAACACAGGAUUGACACACUGUUUCAAUGAAAAUAAGAGAAAUGACUCUUUUCUGCUGGCCACAUUUUGAAGAUGAAGACUACCUGGUGUUAAAUUCAGGGAGAGUGUUGUCAAAUUACAAUUCAAUUCAUUUUAAUCUACGUUUAUAUAAAUGAUUAGAUUGUUUUACACUUUAAAAUAACUAACUAAUGUAAAUACAUUGCCUUUUCUUAUAUUCUUUCAAUGCAGAUUCCCAAACACAUAGUUUUCUGCUUUAAGGAGGAUGGUGCCUUUGAUGUUGUGAUAGAUGGCAAGUCAGAAGAACCAUUGAAGCUCUUUGAUUCUGGGAAUACAAGUCCAAGGCCUGAUCAGAGUAAACAAGUGAAAGAUAUAUUGGUUUGUCUUCGUCUUUUUUUGUUGAAAUGCAGCUCAAUUACGGUAAGGUUGCAGAGACCGUCAGGAAAGCAGCCAUGGGAAAAUGUCAAAUGCACAUAGCACUGAUGCUUGCCUCAAAAUUGGAGAAGGGCUUAUUCCUGGAUGUGGAGUAACGUUCUGUUGCCAGCGGCAGGAGCUAUAAAUUUGAAAAAAUGGAAAACCGUGGGAUGCUGUCUGUCGAAUCAAGCGACUCCAAUCUAUCAGAAAGCAGCGCAGGAUCUUUUUCCUUUCCUAUGUAAGCUGAAACCUUGUGUUAAUUCAGUAAGCUACUAAUUCCAAAUGGUUUUGCUCUGGUAAUUGGUUCUUAACAUGAUUGGAAAACCUGCUGGUUGCACUGGGAGCUGAUGGGGAGUCCUUCACAAAUGCCAAAAUCAGAGGACCUCUACAUAAGGAAGCACAAACCCGUCCUCGUUUUCAGUGCUGUAGAUUCUAAUCUGAACAUUUCCCUUAGUAAAUGCAGAAUCAAUCCUAAUUCAUCUUCUGCAAUGCUAGAACAGGGUUCGUUAAGUUGUACCAAGGCCCUUCGUUUCUUAU